rnacentral:rRNA from 1 species
CCUACGGGGUGCAGCAGUGGGGGAUAUUGCACAAUGGGGGAAACCCUGAUGCAGCGACGCCGCGUGGGUGAAGAAGCGCCUCGGCGCGUAAAGCCCUGUCAGCAGGGAAGAAAAUGACGGUACCUGAAGAAGAAGCCCCGGCUAACUACGUGCCAGCAGCCGCGGUAAUACGUAGGGGGCAAGCGUUAUCCGGAUUUACUGGGUGUAAAGGGGGCGCAGACGGCGAUGCAAGCCAGGAGUGAAAGCCCGGGGCCCAACCCCGGGACUGCUCGUGGAACUGCGUGGCUAGAGUGCAGGAGGGGCAGGCGGAAUGCCUGGUGUAGCGGUGAAAUGCGUAGAUAUCAGGAGGAACACCGGUGGCGAAGGCGGCCUGCUGGACUGCAACUGACGUUGAGGCCCGAAAGCGUGGGGAGCAAACAGGAUUAGAUACCCCAGUAGUC